CGCUAUAAUAAUAUUUCUAAGCGCUUGCGUGAUGCACAUUACACAUCGUUUCAAAUUCAUUUCGUUUUUGGUUUUAAUAGGAAAUAGAUGCAUCAGAUAGAAGUAGUGAGCAAAAAAUCGAAGUGGCUAAUCUGUUGAAGGAAUGGAAUUUGGAACUUCUGAUUCAGCAGUUUGAGGGUAACAUUUUUACAGAAUAUCAAAAGUAUUAGCGGUUUAGAUGAUUGUGAAUAUAUUACCUGGUUAGAAAAUAGUACCGACCCAUGACCAGAAACAGAAGAAAAAUGGAGAAAAACUUACUUGUUACGUUAGGGUCGGUUAAUAGAAGAUGAUUGUACAAUAAUGGAAUAUAUUGAAAAAUUUUCUCCCUGAAGCAACCACUAGGUUAUACACUGGUUUUUUAAUAAAAAGGUUUCUAUAAUCUCUGUACAAAGUGGGAUAAACAUUGAUCAAUCGAUAAUGGCUAUUUGUUGUCCACUGCUGAUGGGAAGUUAUUUGUCUCACUUUACACUAGUAUCAAAUAAACAUGUUUAAUCACUUAUUUUUAAGUUUUUUUUUUAAUUUUUAUUUUUUCCGUUUGUUUUGUUCUAUAUAAUAUCAAUUGAAAUAAGA